CUGGAGUUUUUACAUAACAAAAACAUAAAAACUAAUAUUGCUUUUGUCUAAUUUUCAUAUUCAAAUAAAAUGAGAACUGAAAUAAUAUUUCAUAGCAUGUAUAAGUAAGGUAAAUUACAAUUUUAUUUGGUAUCCUAAAUGGAAGGCCCUAGGGUAUGUGUGUGUGUUUUCAGGAUAUAAGAAAGAAAAGUAAUAUGUGGCAGUGAUUGCUCUAGAAGGAUGAUUUCAGGUUUGUGUGAAAGUAAACUGAAGGAAAUUAUGAAAUUUUUUUCCCAGGAGAACUCUAAUAGUAUCACAGGUUACAUUUGCUGGGAUCUUUAUGACAAAUUCUGCCUACAGGCAGGGUAAUGGAUUUUGAAAAUCUUUCAUGGAAUUUUACACCCCCAAGAGUAUGUGAAAUUGAGUUCAGAAGUUGAAAGAAACAAGGAUUCAGAAAGUCUAUUGCCUUCAAACGCAGUGAACACAUACAAAAAAGACGCUGGAAUGCUCCCACAUGGUGGGCAUAUCAUGGGAUCCAAUGCACACUGCCCACACGAGAAUACAGAUGAGAGAGACAUGGAGUGAGAAAGAGGAAUGAAGUACCAGUAGAUUCAAGUCAAGGAAAAACUGUUUUGGGCAGAGGUAAGGAAGAACAGGAAACUGAACUGUGAAAAACACAGAAGCACGGUAAGUGCUGUCGAGCACAUUUUCUUCCUUUUUUUUUUUUUUUUUUUUUUUUUUUAACCUUCAGGGAAACUUUGUUUAGUCUUCUUUUUAAAGCUAUCUAGUCUAAAAAGGAGUUGAGGUGAAGACUGAAGAAAGAACAUGAGACCUUCUAACAGAGUCAAACCGACUCAGACAGACAGAAGCGGGGGAAGGAUCUGCAGCGUUUAUUUUGUGGCACCAACCCCAGGACUCCAGCCCCUUGGCGCCAGGCAGGCCUCCUGAGAAAGGUGCAUCAGCUUUGGGCGUGGCGGGUUGCAGGGGCGGAGGCGCCAUCUUUGACGCUGCCUUUCCGGAGCCUGUCGAACUGCAAGUAUAAAGACUGUCUUCUUAAGGCCUACUUCUUGACCAAGGGAGUUGCAAACUGCUCCAGGGAGUCCACCUCGGAUGGAGCCGAGGACCUCAGCUGGGUCUUGGGGGUGCUCCCCACUCUCUCCCGCCAGCUCCCGCCCCGCGAAGGGGGUGGCUCGGACUCACAGACGGGACCUUGGUUGGGAACCGCCGACGCCCCCGGAGAAGUCGCGUUCUCUGCUUGCUCCCCCGCCGCCGCAGUCGCAAACAUGUUCGCACCAUCCGCGUGACGUCCCCCGACGUUGAAAGCACCCGCUGCCUCACAGGUGAGACCUAUGAGGCCCCAGGCCCAGUUCUUGAUUGCUCGCCCAGCCGCC
rnacentral:lncRNA from 9 species